rnacentral:rRNA from 1 species
UAGGGAAUCUUCGGCAAUGGGGGGAACCCUGACCGAGCAACGCCGCGUGAGUGAAGAAGGUUUUCGGAUCGUAAAGCUCUGUUGUUAAGGAAGAACGAGUGUGAGAAUGGAAAGUUCAUGCUGUGACGGUACUUAACCAGAAAGGGACGGCUAACUACGUGCCAGCAGCCGCGGUAAUACGUAGGUCCCGAGCGUUGUCCGGAUUUAUUGGGCGUAAAGCGAGCGCAGGCGGUUAGAAAAGUCUGAAGUGAAAGGCAGUGGCUCAUCCAUUGUAGGCUUUGGAAACUGUUUAACUUGAGUGCAGAAGGGGAGAGUGGAAUUCCAUGUGUAGCGGUGAAAUGCGUAGAUAUAUGGAGGAACACCGGUGGCGAAAGCGGCUCUCUGGUCUGUAACUGACGCUGAGGCUCGAAAGCGUGGGGAGCGAACAGG